CCACACCAGAAUUUCCAGGAAGAAAUAGAGUUUCUUAAUGCAAUUUUCCCAAAUGGAGCAGCAUAUUGUAUGGGAUGUAUGAAUUCUGACUGUUGGUACUUAUGUACUCUGCAUUUCCCAGAAAGGUAAUCAGUCAGCCAGAUCAAACCCUGGAAAUUCUGAUGAGUGAGCUUGACCCUGCAGUUAUGGACCAGUUCUACAUGAAAGAUGGCGUUACUGCAAAGGAUGUCACUUGUAAGAGUGGAAUUCGUGACCUGAUACCAGGUUCUGUCAUUAAUGCCACAAUGUUCAAUCCUUAUGGGUAUUCGAUGAAUGGAAUGAAAUCAGAUGGAACUUAUUGGACUAUUCACAUGACUCCAGAACCAGAAUCUUCUUAUGUUAGCUUUAAAACAAACUUAAGUCACCUCCUAUGGUGACCUGAUCAGGAAAGUUGUGGAAGUCUUCAAGCCAGGAAAAUUUGUGACCACUUUGUUAAUCAGAGUUCUAAAUGUCACACCAUGUUUUCUUCACCUCAAAGAUUGAAGGUUUAAAGCGUCUUGAUUGCCAGAGUGCUAUGUUCAAUGAUUACAAUUUUGUUUUUACCAGUUUUGCUAAGAAGCAGCAAUAACAGCAUAGUUGAUUAAGAAAAAUGAAGAAAAAAAUGCAGAGAGAGAACACACAUAAGAAGGUGGUGGAUGCUUUCUAGAUGUUGAUGCUGGGGGCAGUGCUUUCCAUAACCACCACUGAGUAGUUGCAGAAAGCCCUAUAUGUAAUGAUAGUGUAAUCAUUUUGAAUUGUAUGCAUUAUUAUAUCAAGGAAUUAGAUAUCUCGCAUAAAUGCUCUCUUCCGUGUUUAGGUAUUCUCUGCCACCCUUGCUGUGAAAUUGAAGUGCAUGUAGAGAAAACCUUUUACUGUAUGAAACUUUAUAACACUUGUGAGAGCAAUUCAAUUUGGUUUAUGCACAGUAUAAUAUUUCUCCAAAUAUAAUCCAAAAUUCCCCACAGACAAAGCUUUCAUCCUCAUUAAGUGUUGGCCUCAGCCUAACUGUCUGGGACCGUUCUAUUAAAUUGCUGCCAUAAUUUUACAUCCAGUUACCUCCACUUUCUAGAACAUAUUCUUUACUAAUGUUAUUGAAACCAAUUUCUACUUCAUACAGAUGUUUUUUGAAACAGCAAUUAAAGUUUUUCUUCCA